AGACAAUCUCAGAAAGAGCAAAGACAGUGACGCACAGACAAUGAGAUUGAGUGUGGCAGAAAUGAAAAAGAUGAGAGAAGUACUGACUUCACAGCAACACUUCUUUUUAUCGGUGGGAACACAUCGGCCGUCACCAGAGGCUAGUUCAUGAGGCCAGACAAGAAACCCGGAAUCCAGCCACACAAAGCUACACAACUGUGUGCAACGUGGCAUGUCUCCUGCAGGCCAUCAUCACCUGGACAACACAAUAGGCUGAAAAGCUUAGAAGAUAAACCAUUUAUUCUCUUCCAUGUUCCACCAAUUACCCUCGGAUCUUGGCCGGUGGUGGGAGU